rnacentral:rRNA from 1 species
CUACGGGGGGCAGCAGUGAGGAAUUUUGCGCAAUGGGGGGAACCCUGACGCAGCAACGCCGUGUGAGUGAAGAAGGCCUUUGGGUCGUAAAGCUCUGUCAACUGGGAAGAAGUUACUGUGCUUUAAUAGAGUGCAGUAUUGACGGUACCAGUGGAGGAAGCGUCGGCUAACUCCGUGCCAGCAGCCGCGGUAACACGGGGGACGCAAGCGUUAUUCGGAAUUAUUGGGCGUAAAGGGCGCGUAGGCGGUCUUGUCGGUCAGGUGUGAAAGCCCGGGGCUCAACCCCGGACGUGCACUUGAAACAGCAAGACUUGAGUACGGGAGAGGAAAGCGGAAUUCCUGGUGUAGAGGUGACAUUCGUAGAUAUCAGGAGGAACACCGAUGGCGAAGGCAGCUUUCUGGACCGAAACUGACGCUGAGGCGCGAAGGCGUGGGUAGCGAACGGGAUUAGAUACCCCAGUAGUC